GGUAUUAUACUUUAAAUUUUAGAAAAAGGAUUAAUUUGCAUUUAAUUAUUGGGUUAUUCUCUAAUGCCA
rnacentral:tRNA from 1 species